rnacentral:rRNA from 1 species
GACGAACGCUGGCGGCGUGCUUAACACAUGCAAGUCGAACGGAAAGGCCCUGCUUUUGUGGGGUGCUCGAGUGGCGAACGGGUGAGUAACACGUGAGUAACCUGCCCUUGACUUUGGGAUAACUUCAGGAAACUGGGGCUAAUACCGGAUAGGAGCUCCUGCUGCAUGGUGGGGGUUGGAAAGUUUCGGCGGUUGGGGAUGGACUCGCGGCUUAUCAGCUUGUUGGUGGGGUAGUGGCUUACCAAGGCUUUGACGGGUAGCCGGCCUGAGAGGGUGACCGGCCACAUUGGGACUGAGAUACGGCCCAGACUCCUACGGGGGGCAGCAGUGGGGAAUAUUGCACAAUGGGCGGAAGCCUGAUGCAGCAACGCCGCGUGCGGGAGGACGGCCUUCGGGUUGUAAACCGCUUUCGCCUGUGACGAAGCGUGAGUGACGGUAAUGGGUAAAGAAGCACCGGCUAACUACGU